rnacentral:ncRNA from 2 species
UAUAUUUGUUUAAGUUAUGGUUCUUCUUGUUCAACCGAACAAGUGGAUAAUAGGGAAGCAGGUGAGAAUCCUGCACAGUUCCCGCUGCUGUAAUCUUUAAGAGUUCCGGGGCAUACUUUGCCACUGUCUGCUUACUGGUAGAUGGGAAGGCGCUCCGGAAAGUAAAAGUAAGUCAGAAGACCUGCCAUAACAAGACAGAAGAA